UGAAUACGAGACGCUAAGGCGUCGAAGUAGUGUAUGUCAUGCUUCCAAGAAAAGCUUGCACUGUCAUAGAUAAAAAACGCCUGUACCAUAACCGACACAGGUGGGUAGGUAGAGUAUACUAAGGGGCGCGAGAUAACUCUCUCUAAGGAACUCGGCAAAAUAACUCCGUAACUUCGGGAGAAGGAGUGCCUUAUUCGUAAGGUUGCAAUAACAAGAUCCAAGCAACUGUUUAUCAAAAACACAGGUCUCCGCUAAGUCGUAAGACGAUGUAUGGGGGCUGACGCCCGCCCAGUGCCAGAAGGUUAAAGAAGUCGGUUAGCAAUUGCGAAGCUGGUAACUGAAGCCCUGGUGAACGGCGGCCGUAACUAUAACGGUCCUAAGGUAGCGAAAUUCCUUGUCGGGUAAGUUCCGACCCGCACGAAAGGCGUAAUGAUUUGGAUACUGUCUCGGAGAGGGGCUCGGUGAAAUAGACUUGUCUGUGAAGAUGCGGACUACCUGCACCAGGACAGAAAGACCCUAUGAAGCUUUACUGUAACUUGAAAUUGAAAUUGGACUUUAUUCGCGCAGUAUAGGUGGGAGGCGUUGAUUAUAAUCUUGCGGGAUUAUUGGAGCCAUCAGUGAGAUACCACCCUUGUAAUGUUAGAUUUCUAACUUUGAAUCAUUAUCUGGUCAAAGAACAGUUUCAGGCGGGCAGUUUGACUGGGGCGGUCGCCUCCUAAACGGUAACGGAGGCGUACAAAGGUUUCCUCUGAACGGUUAGAAAUCGUAUCUAGAGUGUAAAGGCAUAAGGAAGCUUGACUGUGAGACCUACAAGUCGAGCAGGGACGAAAGUCGGUCUUAGUGAUCUGACGGUACUGAGUGGAAAGGCCGUCACUCAACGGAUAAAAGUUACUCUAGGAUAACAGGCUGAUCUCCCCCAAGAGUUCACAUCGACGGGGAGGUUUGGCACCUCGAUGUCGGCUCAUCGCAUCCUGGGGCGGUAGUACGUCCCAAGGGUUGGGCUGUUCGCCCAUGAAAGCGGUACGCGAGCUGGGUUCAGAACGUCGUGAGACAGUUCGGUCCAUAUCCGGUGUAGGCGUUAGAAUAUUGAGAGGAGCCUUCUUUAGUACGAGAGGACCGAGAAGGACAUACCUCUGGUGUACCAGUUAUCGUGCCAACGGUAAACGCUGGGUAGCUAUGUAUGGAGUGGAUAACCGCUGAAAGCAUCUAAGUGGGAAGCCCACCUCAAGAUAAGUAUUCUCAUCACGUAAGUGAGUAAGGUCACGGUAAGACUAACCGUUUGAUAGGCAUUAAGUGUAAGUACAGUAAUGUAUGUGCUGAGAUGUCCUAAUAGACCGAGGACUUGAAUC
rnacentral:rRNA from 1 species